rnacentral:lncRNA from 1 species
AUCCGGCCACCAGCCCGCUCGUUUCGCUCCAAAACUCGCCGGCGGUGCCCGAUCGGUGCUCUUGGGUCUUCCCAUUUCUCCUCUGAUUCCUCCAGCGACAGGGUGUCUAGACGGCCACGUGACGAGGCCGGAGCCGGGCGCGCCACUGCGCAGUGGAACCAGCAGAGCAGAGGGCCCGGGGGGGGGGGGGGGGGGGGAGGCGGGGAGGAGGCGGCGGCGGCGGCUGGGGGGCGGGGGAGGGAAGGGGGAGGAAGGGGGAGGGAAGGGGGCGGGGGCGGGAGGCCUUGCGGGAGGCGGCGAGCCCCGGGCACACUCGCUCGCCUGCUCGGCGCACGGAGGAGCCUGUCCCCGAGCCGCGCCAGCCGAGCCAGCCGGGCGCCGUGCUCGGUCCGCUCGCCGCGCCGGAGAGAGCUGCCCGAGACGAGAGCCAGCCCGCCGGCGCCGAGCUGCCGAGCGCCCGGCCCAGGAGCCCCUGAGUGCGGCGCGGCGAACCCCGGGCGGCGGCAGAAGGACCCGAGUGCCAGGAGAGGGCGGACGGGGGGACAAGGAGGCUCCCGGCCGCGACGAGGAGAGUCUCUCGGAGAAGGCGGCGUGAGGGACAACCGGGGCCUCCAGCCGCCGCAGCCGAGUCGGGGCGAGCAGCCUUUUACGGGGAGCCCCGGCGGCCAGCCGCAACCCGGGGAGGGGGCGCCGGUGGCCCCCGCGCUAGAGAGCAGAGGGCGACAGCGCGCCGCCCGCCAGGGGCCCGCCGCGGCCGCCGCGCCGCCCUCCCCCGCGCUGUCAGCCCCGCGGGGCGCAGCCGCCGCCGCCGCAGCAUCUUCUGCCCCUGCGCCCCCGCCAGCCCCAAGGAAGUCCCCGCCGACGACCGGGGCCCCCGGGAACGCAAGAGGAAAGGCCAGAGACUCCCCUGAACCACCCAGAUGCGAAGGAUUGAAGCAGCCUAGCCAAAGCUUUCUGUGGAUUAAAAAAUAUAUAUAUAGGAUUUUUUUUUUUUUCUUGGCAGAAGAAAAGGAGAGGAAGAUCAGCGGGGCUCUGCAAGGAAAAAAGGGGGAUGUAACUCGUGGAUACGUUUUUUUCCACCCCUCAAACGUCUCAUUCUACUUUGUAAACAUUUUCUUUUUUUAAACCCCAGCUCCAGCCGGACGCCCCCAGACCUCCGGGGUGCGAGGAGGUGGUGUUUUUCAUUUGGGGCUUUGCAUGUUUGGUUCUUAGAUUUUGAGAGAGCCUCCUUAUUUCGCCAGACAUCUCAUGUGGGGUGAAGUCCACUCAGCCCCCUCCCCCGAGUCUUCGUGUGCACGGAAUUCAAGGAGAUCCGGUUACUAAGGAUAUAGAGGAAAAAAAUAAAUCGCGUGCCUGCUUUUUUUUUUUUAAUUGC